AUCCAGUUGGUGAUGAGUCCCAAAUAGGACGAAAUGCGCAUCCUGGCUGGAU
rnacentral:hammerhead_ribozyme from 1 species